UACAGAGGGUGCAAGCGUUAAUCGGAUUUACUGGGCGUAAAGCGUGCGUAGGCGGUUCGCUAAGUCGGUUGUGAAAUCCCUGGGCUUAACCUGGGAACUGCAGUCGAUACUGGCGGACUAGAGUACGGUAGAGGGUGGCGGAACUCCGGGUGUAGCGGUGAAAUGCGUAGAUAUCCGGAAGAACACCGAUGGCGAAGGCAACCACCUGGGCCGGUACUGACGCUGAGGUACGAAAGCGUGGGGAGCAAACAGG
rnacentral:rRNA from 1 species